AUGGCGCAGCUGAUCAGCAUGCCGCGUGUAGUGAUGAGGCCUUCGGGUUGUAAGCAUCUUUAUGUCUGGGAAGAUAAUGCUUCGCCUAAUACGUGAAGCCUUGACGGUACCGACAGACUACGCACCGGCUAACUCAUGUGCCAGCAGCCGCGGUAAUAC
rnacentral:rRNA from 1 species